ACCAAUGCUUUAUUUGUUGCAAUUUGAACCACCAGAGGGCAACUGUUUAAUAGACAUUGGGUUCUUUUCGGAAAAGUGACGUGUUGCUAUUUUGUCAUUGUUUAGGUUAUGGUAUGAGUAAAAUUAUUUCUUAAUAUGCCUCGAAUUUCAGAAAGAGGGACACUUAGUGGAAGUUCAUCGUGGAAUAUCGACAAAUUGUCAAACAUGAUGUGGAGUUUCUUUAAUGUUGUGUAUUUUUACUUCAGGAGUUUGUUGAUCCUUUAUUAAGUGCUGGGAAUGAUUCACGGCAGGGAAGUCGGUCCAGUACAGGAAGAGGAAAUCCUCCAAGGCCUCCUGGCAGAGGAAAUUUCAGGACUUUUUCAGACACAGUAGCUUCACCAGGAUAUUUUCCUCCUCCCGGUGGAUGAGGCCGAUAAGGGUUCUGAUCUAAACGUUCGGGACCCGUGACAUUACUUAAUGAUGUAUGUGCUUAUUUUUGUAAUUACUAAUUAUUAAAGAUGUAAAGAAUUUAUUUGCUAGGAGUUAUGGUAGUAAAGAUAUGACGUUACUUUGGUAAAUCAUUGUAGCCAAAGUGACCGAUGUUUGUAUUCUUUCUCCAUGCAAAUAUAAUCUACAUGUAAAUAAUGCAUAUUUUGUACAUUAAAAUAUUUAUGAAUUGUCAA